rnacentral:rRNA from 1 species
GGACGAACGCUGGCGGCGUGCUUACCCCAUGCAAGUCGAACGGAAAGGCCCUGCUUUUGUGGGGUGCUCGAGUGGCGAACGGGUGAGUAACACGUGAGUAACCUGCCCUUGACUUUGGGAUAACUUCAGGAAACUGGGGCUAAUACCGGAUAGGAGCUCCUGCUGCAUGGUGGGGGUUGGAAAGUUUCGGCGGUUGGGGAUGGACUCGCGGCUUAUCAGCUUGUUGGUGGGGUAGUGGCUUACCAAGGCUUUGACGGGUAGCCGGCCUGAGAGGGUGACCGGCCACAUUGGGACUGAGAUACGGCCCAGACUCCUACGGGAGGCAGCAGUGGGGAAUAUUGCACAAUGGGCGGAAGCCUGAUGCAGCAACGCCGCGUGCGGGAUGACGGCCUUCGGGUUGUAAACCGCUUUCGCCUGUGACGAAGCGUGAGUGACGGUAAUGGGUAAAGAAGCACCGGCUAACUACGUG